rnacentral:rRNA from 1 species
GACGAACGCUGGCGGCGUGCUUAACACAUGCAAGUCGAGCGAUGAAGCUCCUUCGGGAGUGGAUUAGCGGCGGACGGGAGAGUAACACGUGGGCAACCUGCCUUAUAGAGAGGAAUAGCCAUCCGAAAGGAUGAUUAAUACCUCAUAAUAUUGUAGCUUCGCAUGGAGCAACAAUCAAAGGAGCAAUCCACUAUAAGAUGGGCCCGCGGCGCAUUAGCUAGUUGGUGAGGUAACGGCUCACCAAGGCGACGAUGCGUAGCCGACCUGAGAGGGUGAUCGGCCACAUUGGGACUGAGACACGGCCCAGACUCCUACGGGAGGCAGCAGUGGGGAAUAUUGCACAAUGGGGGAAACCCUGAUGCAGCAACGCCGCGUGAGUGAUGACGGCCUUCGGGUUGUAAAGCUCUGUCUUCAGGGACGAUAAUGACGGUACCUGAGGAGGAAGCCACGGCUAACUACGUGCCAGCCGCCGCGGUAAAAC